rnacentral:rRNA from 1 species
UGGGGAAUAUUGCGCAAUGGGCGAAAGCCUGACGCAGCGACGCCGCGUGAGGGAUGACGGCCUUCGGGUUGUAAACCUCUUUCAGCAGGGACGAAGUGCAAAUGACGGUACCUGCAGAAGAAGCGCCGGCUAACUACGUGCCAGCAGCCGCGGUAAGACGUAGGGCGCGAGCGUUGUCCGGAUUUAUUGGGCGUAAAGAGCUCGUAGGCGGUUUGUCACGUCUGUCGUGAAAGAUCCAGGCUUAACCUGGGUUCUGCGGUGGAUACGGGCAGACUUGAGGCAAGUAGGGGAGAUCGGAAUUCCACGUGUAGCGGUGAAAUGCGCAGAUAUGUGGAGGAACACCGGUGGCGAAGGCGGAUCUCUGGGCUUGUUCUGACGCUGAGGAGCGAAAGCGUGGGGAGCGAACAGG